rnacentral:rRNA from 1 species
UGUUGCCCUGUUGUCCCGGGGUAAGCGUGUAGGGCGGGGCCCAGGCAAAUCCGGUCCCCAUGAAGCCUGAGACGUGAUACCGAGCCGAAAGGCAGAAGUCACUGAUCCUAUGCUGCCGAGAAAAGCCUCUAGCGAGCUCGCACGGUGCCCGUACCCGAAACCGACACAGGUGGGCGGGUAGAGAAUACCAAGGCGAUUGGGAGAACUACGGUUAAGGAACUCGGCAAAAUACAUCCGUAACUUCGGGAUAAGGAUGACCUCAUUAGGGUGAUCGGACUUGCUCCGUGAGCUCGAGGGGGUGGCACAGACCAGGGGGAAGCGACUGUUUACCAAAAACACAGCAGCGUGCGAAGCCGCAAGGCGCUGUAUACGCUGUGACGCCUGCCCGGUGCUGGAAGGUUACGGGGAAAGGUUAGCCGCAAGGCGAAGCUUUGAACCUAAGCCCCAGUAAACGGCGGCCGUAACUAUAACGGUCCUAAGGUAGCGAAAUUCCUUGUCGGGUAAGUUCCGACCUGCACGAAUGGCGUAACGACUUCCCUACUGUCUCAACCGUAGACCCAGCGAAAUUGAAGUACGAGUAAAGAUGCUCGUUAAGUGCAGAAGGACGGAAAGACCCCGUGGACCUUUAUUAUAACUUGAUAUUGGUUCUUGGUUUCUGUUGUGUAGGAUAGGUGGGAGACGUUGAGUCGGUGGCGCUAGCUGCCGAGGAGUCAACCUUGAAAUACCACCCUGCAGUGAUUGGGAAUCUAACCACGACCCGUUAUCCGGGUUUGGGACAGUGUCAGGCGGGUAGUUUGACUGGGGCGGUCGCCUCCUAAAUCGUAACGGAGGCGCCCAAAGGUUCCCUCAGACUGGUUGGCAAUCAGUCGUCGAGUGCAAUGGCACAAGGGAGCUUGACUGCGAGACUGACACGUCGAGCAGGUGCGAAAGCAGGGCAUAGUGAUCCGGCGGUUGCGUGUGGAAGCGCCGUCGCUCAACGGAUAAAAGGUACCCCGGGGAUAACAGGCUAAUCUUGCCCAAGAGUCCAUAUCGACGGCAAGGUUUGGCACCUCGAUGUCGGCUCAUCGCAUCCUGGGGCUGAAGCAGGUCCCAAGGGUUGGGCUGUUCGCCCAUUAAAGCGGUACGCGAGCUGGGUUCAGAACGUCGUGAGACAGUUCGGUCCCUAUCCUCUGCACUCGCAGCUAGAUUGAGGAAGGCUAUCCCUAGUACGAGAGGACCGGGAUGGACGCAGCUCUCGUGUGCCAGUUGUCCUGCCAAGGGCAUUGCUGGUUAGCGACCUGCGGAAGGGAUAACCGCUGAAAGCAUCUAAGUGGGAAGCCCGUUUCAAGAUGAAUCUAGCCACCGGGUUAACCGGGUAAGGCCCGUGGGAGACCACCACGUUGAUAGGCCGGAGGUGGAAUUGCGGUAACGCAUGGAGCCGACCGGUACUAAUCGGCCGAGGGCUUGGGUAA